GGAGUAUCGACCCUCUCUGUGCCGAAGCUAACGCUUUAAGUGUCCCGCCUGGGGACUACGGCCGCAAGGCUAAAACUCAAAGGAAUUGACGGGGGCCCGCACAAGCAGCGGAGCGUGUGGUUUAAUUCGAUGCAACACGAAAAACCUUACCAAGGUUUGACAUGUCGGAAGUAGUGAACCGAAAGGGGAACG
rnacentral:rRNA from 1 species